GACGAACCGUACGAACGUUAUUCGGAAUCACUGGGCUUAAAGGGUGCGUAGGCGGCGCAGAAAGUUGGGUGUGAAAUCCCUCGGCUUAACCGAGGAAUUGCGCCCAAAACUACCGUGCUCGAGGGAGGUAGAGGUGAGCGGAACUUAGGGUGGAGCGGUGAAAUGCGUUGAUAUCCUAAGGAACACCGGUGGCGAAAGCGGCUCACUGGACCUCUUCUGACGCUGAGGCACGAAAGCUAGGGUAGCAAACGGG
rnacentral:rRNA from 1 species